GACGAACGCUGGCGGCGUGCUUAACACAUGCAAGUCGAACGGAAAGACCCUGCCUUUGUGCUGUGCUCGAGUGGCGAACGGGUGAGUAACACGUAAGUAACCUGCCCUUGACUUUGGGAUAACUUCAGGAAACUGGGGCUAAUACCGGAUAGGAGCUCCUGUUGCAUGGCAGGGGUUGGAAAGUUUCGGCGGCUGGGGAUGGACUUGCGGCUGAUCAGCUUGUUGGUGGGGUAGUGGCUUACCAAGGCUUUGACGGGUAGCCAGCCUGGGAGGGUGACCGGCCACAGUGGGACUGGGAUACGACCCAGAGUGCUACGGGGGGCAGCAGUGGGGAAUAUUGCACAAUGGGCGGAAGCCGGAUACAACAACGCCGCGUGCGGGAUGACGGCCUUCGGGUUGUAAACCGCGUGCGCCUGUGACGAAGCGUGAGUGACGGUAAUGGAUAAAGAAGCACCGGCUAACUACGUG
rnacentral:rRNA from 1 species